AUUGAACGCUGGCGGCAGGCCUAACACAUGCAAGUCGAACGAGGGGCGGACGGGUGAGUAAUGCUUGGGAAUCUAGCUUACGGAGGGGGAUAACUACGGGAAACAGUAGCAAAUACCGCGUACCAUAGGAUGAGACCACGUUGGUUUAGGUAGUGGGGGAGGUAAAGGCUCACCAAGCCGACGAUCGCUAGCUGGUCUGAGAGGAGGACCGGCCACACUGGGACUGAGACACGGCCCAGACUCCUACGGUAGGCAGCAGUGGGGAAUAUUGCGCAAUGGGGGCAACCCUGACGCAGCCAUGCCGCGUGUAUGAAGAAGGCCUUCGGGUUGGAAAGUACUUUCAGUCGGGAGGCGUUACCGACAGAAGAAGCACCGGCUAACUCCGUGCCAGCAGCCGCGGUAAUUC
rnacentral:rRNA from 1 species